rnacentral:lncRNA from 1 species
UUUUUUCUUUUUUUUUUUUUUCUGUCUUUUUGCCUUUUCUAGGGCUGCUCCCGCGGCAUAUGGAGGUUCCCAGGCUAGGGGUCCAAUCAGAGCUGUAGCCGCUGGCCUACCCCAGAACCACAGCAACAUCAGAUCCAAGCCGCAUCUGCAAUCGACACCACAGCUCAUGGCAAUGCUGGAUCCUUAACCCACUGAGCAAGGCCAGGGAUCGAACCUGCAACCUCAUGGUUCCUACUCAGAUUCGUUAACCACUGCGCUACGAUGGGAACUCCCUCUAAUGUUCUUCAUACAGUAGCUAAAGUGCAGGUAUGUCACCUAGGUGGGCGAUUCAGAUACACCCAUAUGGAAAUUUGGUCCUUGUGGGAGUGAUGGAAGAGGCAGCAGAUGGUCAGAGAUUUUUGUGUGUGGCAAAGUUGUGAGUCCAAUAGAAUAAGAGUAAAUGUUUAGCGGUGGUCACAUAAGGGCAGCAUCCUCAGCAGCCUGGGUCUGUGGUGGGGUGUGGCUGUAUCUUGGUCUCUGCUAAUCUUUGAGGUUGGUUCUCCAGCCCUUCCAUCAACCCCUUGUGAUAGAGGCUUAUGAGCUAGCCUCUAUAGACUUCCAAACAAUUCAUUCCUGCUUAAGUGGAGAGUUUGUUCCUUUUGUUUGGCAAGAUGGAUGGUGAUGUACAGAGGCCACAGCAGGGUCGACAGUGACUGGCAUUUUAGUUAUGACAAGUGAAAACAAAGAGCAUGACAGUCACACGGAAAUGUUCAGAGUCAGCUGAAUAAGGGCAACGAGUGCAGGCAGGGAGGAUGUCGUGGAGGUAGAGCUGGUUGUUAUCUACCUAGAUGUGGUUAAGGCCGUUAUGACAGUGGAGCGAGAGUGUGAAGAGGAAAGAUAGUGCCCAGGGCUCAUCUCUGGACUACCCCACAGAUAGAAAGAAGAAAGAAAUCACAGCCAUCACAGAUGGAUGGGAAGACAAUACGGUCACUAUGCAGAUCAAGGAAGUAGAGAAGUUCAAGGAGAUGCUGAAGAGACAAAUGGGUCAGGAGGUGUUCAAAGAGGAUGAGAACUAAAUAUAAUUUAUUCAGUUUGUCCCUAGCAGCAGUUUAGAAAUUAUGCAGAUCAAAGUAAAAUAUAACCUCGGUAGCGCCAACAUUCAUUUGAAUGCAGGCCAUGUAGUAAGCACUCCGUGUGUAUUACUGUAUGUGAAAUAGAUAAUAUUAUCUUCUGCCUUUUUCAUACGUAAAGAAACAGAAACUUGGUAAUGAAAUGACGUAAUAUAUCUGUAUUCGUAAGUUGCCAAUAAGUUGCAGAUCUGGGAUAGAAACGGGUUUGAAGGGUUCCAGAGGCCAUAUUCUUAACCACUCCUCUGCAGUUAGUAAGCAUGACAAGAGGAACAUAUUUUAUUCUAUUUUAUUUUAUGUAUUUAUUUAUUUUUGUCUCUUCUAGGGCUGUACCCGCAGCAUAUAGAAGUUCCCAGGCUAGGGGUCUAAUCGGAGCUGUAGCAGCCAGCCUUCGCCAGAGCCACAAUAACGCCAGAUCGGAGCUGUGUCGGCAACCUGCACCACAGCUCACGGCAGCGCUGGAUCCUUAACCCACUGAGCAAAGCCAGGGAUCGAACCUCAACCUCAUGGUUCCUAGUCGGAUUUGUUAACCACUGAGCCACAGCAGGAACUCCCAUCAUAUUUUAAUAUACAACUUAAAGCUGAGUAUGCCAAUCAUGUUAAGAUUCUUGAUAUAAUCGAGCAAACUCUCAUUCAAUUUCCUAUUGAUUCAUUUGUACCUUGUACCAUUUUAUAGUUUCAUGUUAUUGGAUAUUUGCCACUUAUAAAUGCAAUCAAAUAUGGCCCAGUUUUUAAAAUGGGCUGUGAUUAUAUGUGUAAUCUUUGGAUUUGAAUGAUCCUUAGCACCAGAAAGGAUAUUGAACCUUUGGAAAACAUGGGAGCUUCUUUCAAAAUUUGAUUGUUUUGGCUUAAGAAAAACAGCCGUAUGUUAUCUUCUUUUUUUGUUGUUGCUGUUCUUUUUUAGGGCCACACUUGCAGCAUAUGGAGGUUCCCACGCUAGGGGUCGAAUCAGAGCUGUAGCCACCAGCCUACACCAGAGCCACAGCAACGCUGGAUCUGAGCCAUGUUUGCAACCUACACCACAGCUCAUGGCAAUGCCAGAUCCUUAACCCAUUGAACGAGGCCAGGGAUCGAACCCAGGUCCUCAUGGAUGCUAGCUGAGUUCCUUAACCACUGAGCCAUGACGGGAACCUCCCCAACAUAUAUUAGUUUCAAUAGUUUGCUUAAAUUCCACCAGAAAGUUGAUAAAACUCAUGUAUGCAAUGAUUUACAUGACUGUACAUAUAUUUACAUACAUCUAAAAUAUAUUGGAGUUCUCUUGUGGUACAGUGGGUUAAGGAUUCAGUGCUGUCACUGCUUUGGCUCAGGUUGCUGCCAUUGUGCGGGUUUGAUCCUUGGCCCGGGAAACUUCCACAUGCCAUGGGCAUGGGCAAAAAAAUGUUUUUAUCUUUAAUACAACAUUUUAAUUUUGGCCUACAAAGAGGGAAAACAUUCCUAAGUCAUCAUUUCCUUUGCUUUUUUCCUCUUCCUCUCUUCCAUUUCAGCAUGAUAAUUAUUUCUAGACCUAAAAGGUUUUAAUGCCAGGCUGUGUCACUCAUUAAGUAUUUGGCCUUAGGCAAGAUACUCAGCCACUCUGAGCCUCCAUUUUCUCACCUGGAAGUGACGAUUAUAAUAGUACCUACUCUACUGGGUUCCUGUAAGGACUAAAAAAGAUACAUUUUAUAGAGCUAAGAAUAGUGCCUGACACAGGGAGCUUCAAUCUCAAUGUAGAGGGCAGGAAAACUGCUGGUCUUGGCAUGUAGUUGAUUUAGAGCCUCCAAAUGUCUGUUCCCAUCUCUUCUUCCCACUGAUUGCCUUCUCUGCCUCAUCUUUCCAUAUUUCCCACUUUUUUCAUGAAAAUAUGAUUUAAAAGUAUUCUUCUGUGGCCCUUCUGACCUUAUGAACAUGACCAUUCCAUUCACUCAAGAGUUUUCUCAACUCUGAAGUCUACUGUUUUUCACCAUUGCAUCAAUUUACAGCUCCUUUGUAUAUCAAUUUUUAUGUGAUUUCAAAUUAUUAUUAUUAUUAUUGUAUUUUUAGGGGCCACACCUGCAGCAUAUGGAGAUUCCCAGACUAGGGGUCAAAUCAGAGCUACAGCUUCCAGCCUACACCACAGCCACAGCAAUGCAGGAUCCAAGCCACAUCUGGGACCUACACCACAGCUCAUGACAGCUCCAGAUCCUUAACCCACUGAUCGAGGCCUUGGAUCAAACCCACAACCUCAUGCAUGGUUCCUAAUUGGAUUUGUUUCUGCUGUGGCACCAUGGAAAAUCCUGAAUUUUUAUAUCUGUAAUGAUCCAGGCAGGUAAUGAACUUCUUAGAAUCUAGACUGAUAUUCUGUUCAGUUUUUUGUUUGUGUAAUUUUUUAUAUAAACUUUUUGUACAAAGCAGGGCUAAGGCUCUUGUUUACCUAGCCACUUGAAAACUAAAAGUGUUUAGGACUGCUUUGAGGAACUUGUAGCUAACCCCAAAUUUGGGUAAGUUAAAAAAAAGAAAACCCUGAUAAUGCAUUAUCAACAUUUUUGAAAGAAUAAAACUCAUUUUUUGUUUCAUAAUGCUUUUAAAAAUAUAAAACAUACUUUUGAAUUCAAAAUUCUUUGGGGAUUCUUAGUUCUUUGUAUGCUUGUAGAACUAGGUCACUGAAUAAUAUUCAAGAUUUUUUGGUUGUUCUUAACCUUUAAGAAAUUAUGUUGACAUUGGGAUAAAGAGUUAUAUUUUUAUCUCAAACAUCUGAUAAAAAUGGUAAAUUGGUGUUUACAGCGUCUGAAGAAAAUAGGCCAUUAGAAAGGCCAGAGCUAGACUAUAUCCUACAAUUGAGCUGGUUAAUUUUCCUAUAAUGUCAGGAAACUGAACAAAAUGUAAAAGAUUCUAAGUUCUCUACUUCCUUCUUGAACUCCCCUCCCUAAUGGUAAUUAUUCCGACCGCUGGAUAGAGUAGAGGGCUCGUCAAGAUUCUAAAGAAUUAAAACAAAGUAUUAUCUAAGCUUUAGGGCAAAAUAGGUUUUCUUUUGUUUGAUUUACUGAGGCCAUCCACAUUUCUUAGAACAUCAUCCACCAAAGAAGAUUUCUUUGAAAAAAGAAUGCUGUGUUCAAACACAUUUGGGUAACUCUGGGUGAAACAAAACUGAAGAAAAUAUUUUAUUUUUUAUUUCUUAUUUUAAAUUAUUUUUAAUUUUUUCAGUUAUAGCUGGUUUGCAGUGCUCUGUCAAUUUUCUGCUGUACAGCAAGGUGAUCCAGUCACACAUACAUAUAUAUAUUCUUUUUCUCACAUCGUCCUCCACCAGGCUCCAUCAUAAGUGAUUAGAUAUAGUUCCCAGUGCUAGACAGCAGGAUCUCAUUGCUUAUCCAUUCCAAAGGCAAUAGUUAAGAAAAUGUUUUAAACUGUAGUUCUUAUCAGAGUAUUUAGUAUGGGAAAUGCAUUUAAUGUUUCGAUUGACACAUAUUUGUUAAACGCCUUCCAGGGCCAUACAAUGAACUAACAUUUAAAGCAUAUUGAGGCACCAUUCCUGCCCUUUGCAAAGUAAGGGCUGGUGAGAAUCUCUUGCUAUUCUGCAAGCAAAUGUGAGGCAUGCAGUUUCUCUUUUUUUGACCACAAGAAUCUUUUCUUCCUUCCUUCUUUCCUUCUUUUUGGUGGAGCAUUGCUGGGAACCACUUUUCUGAGGAACGUGCUUUGAGGAAAUCUAAGACUACAUUUAUUAAUAGGUCCUCUUGAUAUUACUUUUCUCAGCAUUUUCUCUAAGAAGUUCAGAUGCUAAGAACAAAGCCAAGAUGAAGAAGCAAUGAUGUAGACCCAACUGAUGACUUUACAUACCUAUGUUCUCUAAGGGCAACCAGCCUUUGUUACAUCAGCCCCAGGAACACGUGGAAAGUGGGACACAGGUACUUUGAAGUAGUGAAGUGUUUCAUUGGUUUGAUAUCAACAGGGAUGCUGAUGGACAACAUGUAUAUUUGGGAUUUUUCAGAAUAUUAAUUAUCAGUUGGAGUUCUACCCAGAGGGUGAAGUAUCUUCUUUCCUGCCCGGUGGUGGGGAGACGCCAUCAGGAGAUUACCUUGUGCUCAUAGGAUUAAAGAGAGAUGGGUAUCUUUUCUUUUUGGGGAAGAACCAAGUAGGCAAAGGUUUGAGAUGCGGAGAGCAAGGGUGUUGGGUGGGAGAAGAACAUGAGUCAGGAACACAGCUUAGGGAGCUGAAGUUAUUGCCAACCAGUGCUAUAAACUAGUCGCUCUGUAAAACAGUAUUGAAGGUUCUAUGGACACUGCGU